AUUGAACGCUGGCGGCAUGCCUUACACAUGAAGUCGAACGGUAACGGGCCUUCGGGUGCCGACGAGUGGCGAACGGGUGAGUAAUACAUCGGAACGUGCCCGAUCGUGGGGGAUAACGAGGCGAAAGCUUUGCUAAUACCGCAUACGAUCUACGGAUGAAAGCAGGGGACCGCAAGGCCUUGCGCGGACGGAGCGGCCGAUGGCAGAUUAGGUAGUUGGUGGGAUAAAAGCUUACCAAGCCGACGAUCUGUAGCUGGUCUGAGAGGAUGAUCAGCCACACUGGGACUGAGACACGGCCCAGACUCCUACGGGAGGCAGCAGUGGGGAAUUUUGGACAAUGGGCGCAAGCCUGAUCCAGCCAUGCCGCGUGCAGGAUGAAGGCCUUCGGGUUGUAAACUGCUUUUGUACGGAACGAAAAGCCUUCUUUUAAUACAGGAGGGUCAUGACGGUACCGUAAGAAUAAGCACCGGCUAACUACGUG
rnacentral:rRNA from 1 species